rnacentral:rRNA from 1 species
UACGGGGGGAGCAAGCGUUGUUCGGAUUUACUGGGCGUAAAGAGCGUGUAGGCGGCCAGGUAGGUCCGUUGUGAAAACUCGAGGCUCAACCUCGAGACGUCGGCGGAAACCCUCUGGCUAGAGUCCGGAAGAGGAGAGUGGAAUUCCUGGUGUAGCGGUGAAAUGCGCAGAUAUCAGGAAGAACACCCGUGGCGAAGGCGGCUCUCUGGGACGGUACUGACGCUGAGACGCGAAAGCGUGGGGAGCAAACAGG